AUACGGAGGGUGCAAGCGUUAAUCGGAAUUACUGGGCGUAAAGCGUACGUAGGCGGUUUAUUAAGUCAGAUGUGAAAGCCCCGGGCUUAACCUGGGAACUGCAUUUGAAACUAGUAGACUAGAGUAUGGUAGAGGGGGGUAGAAUUCCUAGUGUAGCGGUGAAAUGCGUAGAUAUUAGGAGGAAUACCAGUGGCGAAGGCGGCCCCCUGGACCAAUACUGACGCUGAGGUACGAAAGCGUGGGGAGCGAUCAGGAUUAGAAACCCUAGUAGUCC
rnacentral:rRNA from 1 species